AACCAUUCUCACCUGCGGCUAGACCUGCGGAAGGAUCAUUACAGAGUUGCAAAACUCCCUAAACCAUUGUGAACGUUACCUAAACCGUUGCUUCGGCGGGCGGCGCGCCCUCGCGCGCGCCCCUGGGCCCCACCGCGGGCGCCCGCCGGAGGUCACCAAACUCUUGAUAUUAAUUGGCCUCUCUGAGUCUUCUGUACUGAAUAAGUCAAAACUUUUAACAAUGGAUCUCAGAUCGGAAGA
rnacentral:misc_RNA from 1 species